GCUUGUGGCCACACCACCCUGAACACGCCUGUUAGGGCCUGGUUAGAACUGGGACAGGAGACUGCCUGGGAAUACCAGGUGCCGUAAGCA
rfam:Salmo salar isolate Sally breed double haploid chromosome ssa11, whole genome shotgun sequence.